rnacentral:lncRNA from 1 species
AAGAAGUACUUUAAUAGCUCAAACUCAGAGUCAUCGUGCUCCCAAUUCCAAAGAGAUUCCUAAAAGAGGCAACUUCGGCCGUUUGAGAAGCCAGCGCUCACCCACCCGGGGUCUCUGUGCAUUGACCUUUGGGUGCUGACUUGGAGAAAAGCACAAACACGACCAGUCCCAUCCUGGCUCCCGUGGGGCUUCUUCUAUCUACGCAUUGUAUCGACUGCAUUAGUUGGACUAAGAUGAUGACUCAGUUAAAGGAGGAGACAAAUGCUGACUGUCUAAGCAAGAAUGGCCCAAGCUGGCAAGAAAAAGCACACUGCAUACAUAGGAUACAGAAGGGCAGAGCUUCUGCCUGCGGAUCUGCAACAUUACAUUUGUUUUGCCUGCAAACUAUCAAGAAGGAUUCUGUUGGCCAGGGAGUCUCCACUGAACAAACAAAAUGGCAGUCAAAAGUCUUGAGUGUCCUAUUCCAGCAGCCCAGAGUCCUCAUCCGUCAUCCACGGGAGAGUCUUUGAGGGAAACAUGAAGUCCAGCUCAUGCCUCUGCCUAUGGGUCAAUUUCUUCGGGAAUCACUGUGAUCAUGAUAUCUUCAUUACCCCUGCGGACCACCAUGUUCAGGGUGCUUUCCCUUUUAAUGACGUCGCUGACAUCAUUGGCGGAGACCACGGACUGUCCAUUGAUGCUGAUUAUGACGUCGUUUUCCUUGAGACCACCAGCUUCUGCUGGGGUAUCAGGAAUUACUUCAAUUAUAUACGCUCCUGAGAUCACGUCUGGGAAGUCCCGGUGCCGGUCCUUCAGCUCUUUGGCUUUGCUGGACGUGAGUGACAUCAUUCGGAUACCAAUAUACUUCUUCUUGGUGAUGGCUUUUCCUUUGGCCUGUCGGUCAUGGGACUCCGUGAGGAACUUUUUAAUCUUAUCAGAUGGGAUUGCAAAGGAGAUUCCAGCUGUCACUUUCAAAGUGUUAAUUCCAAUCACUUCACCGUCCAGGUUUACUAACGGGCCUCCCGAGUUUCCAUAGUUGAUGAUGGCGUCGGUCUGGAUGUAGUCCAUGUCUGAGUUGCGGAGCCCCAGCUCUUUGCCGCCUCGCUGGGUGGUGCUCACGAUCCCGGUGGUGACUGUGUUUUGAAGGGAAAACGGGCUUCCGAUGGCGACCACGAACUCUCCCGGCCGCAGCUCUGAGGAGCGGCCAAGCAGCAGGACAGGCAGCUUGCCCUGGUGGUCAAUUUUGAUGAGUGCGAUGUCUGCUUUCUCAUCCACAUCCUUGAUUUUGGCUUCGUAAGUGGCACCGUUCUUCAGCUCAACUUUGACCCGGUGCUUGUUGGUCACCACGUGGGCAUUUGUCACGAUCAGUCCAUCUUCCGACACAAUAAACCCAGACCCACUAGCCACCGGCACCUCUCGUUUAGAAAACGGAAGCUUGCGAAACAAUUCGAUAUGAACCACGGCAGGGGCGAUCUUCUCCACCACGUCCGCGAUAAAGUUAUAUUUAUGGCGCAAACUGUUGGGAUCUUCCUGCCCUUGGCCGCAGGCUCCGCGCUGCAGGACGAUGACCGGCGGCCGGUGCAGCCUCUCGGAGCGGCGGCUGGCGGCGCGCAGCUGGCACAGGUUGGCGUAGGUGUUGGCGUCGCUGCCGCACACCGGCUCGCUGCUGGCGCACACACAGAGGCCGGCCUGCGCGCGCCGCCGCACCGUGGCCGAGGCUGGCACCCCGAAGGGCACCACGCACUGCAGCCCCUCGCCGCACGGGCCCUCCUGCAGGCCGCACGCGGCGCCCUCGGGCGCGCCGCACACCUCGCAGCAGCCGCACGCGUCCCGGGCCCGGCCGCCCUCGCAGUGCUCCGGCUGCGGCGGGCAGCGCGCCGGCUCGCAGCGGUCUG